AUUUCUCCUACAGUAGUGAAAAAUAAAAUUCUUUAAAUGUGCUUAUCUACUACACCUUAAAAGAAAGACAAGAAAUCACUAUUCCUAAAAGAACUUCCAAUCUCAGCCGUCCAUUUGACUCUCUCUUCUUCAUUUGAUGUCUUUAAUCGUGGCCCUUCCUUUGUGAGACUUUUUUCAUCUGUAUUCUACUCUAGCUGCUCAAUUUCGCUGAUGUCACAGAACGUCGUGAUGAAGUAUGCAAUGGAGAGGAGUUUAAUUUUGUGGGUAUUCGUCACCCCUGCAGCACCUGUCCCUGUAGCGUGUUUCAGGUUUAUGUGUAGUUGGAAGCGGGAGGAGCUGUGGAUGUUGCGAGGAAGGAGAUGACCUCACUGCUUGCGUUGCUGGAUUAGGUUUUCCUGUUGACCAGGAUUUGGAGUUUGAUUUGUUCAGAAUGUGUUGUCUGCAGGAGAAAAAUAGAAGUGUAUCAGAAGCCAUGUCAGGAUCAAGCAAACAAGAUUUACUGAACUAUGGACAAAGUGGCUUACAGAAGUAAGAACCUUCGAAGCAAGAACCUUCAGUAGAACCAGAAGAUUCAGUUCCAGAUCUAUACUGCUGACAAGCUGAAAUGUUGGUAUUGGAUUUCCAACAUUGCAUUCUAACUCUUGGCAUGGCCAUUCAGAUUCCAUCUAUGAUAGGUCCUCAAAAUGGUGGAGGCGAUGCUGGGAAGACCAAAGUUAUCUAGGCAUGGCACACACCUUGAAGUCAUCAGCAAUGAGUGAUGACUGUGGGGUGGUUGAUGUCUGGUCUGUGUUGAUGUCAUCUGUAUACUGAGUUUAGAUUGAGAGUUCCAAACUUCAUGGCUUCCCGCUCUGCAAUGCACUUAAGCUAUGUUUCAAGUGUGUAUAAAUACUGCUCUUUGGGUUGAAAUUUAUUCUCAUCCCCUCCCUUUCAUGUGACAUUGAUUUCGUGCCAUAAUCCAAUUGUUUUACCUCAAUGGUUGAGAUUGGUCCUCCAGGUAAUUCCAUCAAAAACUUAAUUUCUGGUAGAGACAGGCUGAGAGCUCGAGUCAUCCGAAAGUGGGACAUGUACCUGUUGGGUGAACCAUCCAAGCCAUAUGCUAUCCACAUGGUUAUUGUUGAUAUUGAGAGACCAAACAAAGUAAGGGUGUUUUUCAACAAGGCCCUCGUGAGGAUGCUACUACUUCAACCUCCAAAUAACCGUGUAUUAAGAUUAAUGUUGUUGAGGAGGGUACUAUUGAGGAAGAUCUUUGUUCAAGUGGAUGCACUACACCAACGGCUAAAGAGUUCAGAAUUCCGGAGGUAUUAACAUGUCCACCAGCUCCAAAGAAGAGAACAGUAAUGCCCAAUAGCUCAUCAAAUUGACCCCAACGAGAAUUUUUUACU